rnacentral:rRNA from 1 species
UACGUAGGGUGCAAGCGUUGUCCGGAAUUAUUGGGCGUAAAGAGCGUGUAGGCGGCUUUACAGGUCCGUUGUGAAAACUCGAGGCUCAACCUCGAGACGCCGGUGGAAACCGUAAGGCUAGAGUCCGGAAGAGGAGAGUGGAAUUCCUGGUGUAGCGGUGAAAUGCGCAGAUAUCGGGAGGAACACCGGUGGCGAAGGCGGUUCUCUGGGCCUUACCUGACGCUGAGGAGCGAAAGCGUGGGGAGCGAACAGG